rnacentral:rRNA from 1 species
GAGUUUGAUCCUGGCUCAGAACGAACGCUGGCGGCAUGCCUCAUACAUGCAAGUCGAACGGGGUCUUCGGACCUAGUGGCGCACGGGUGAGUAACAUGUGGGAAUCUGCCUGAAGGUUCGGAAUAACUGCGGGAAACUGUAGCUAAUACCGGAUGUGUCUGAAAAGAGAAAGAUUUAUCGCCUUCAGAUGAGCCCGCACUAGAUUAGCUAGUUGGUGAGGUAAUUGCUCCACCAAGGCUACGAUCUAUAGCUGAUUUGAGAGGAUGAUCAGCCACACUGGGACUGAGACACGGCCCAGACUCCUACGGGAGGCAGCAGUAGGGAAUAUUGGACAAUGGGGGAAACCCUGAUCCAGCAAUGCCGCGUGAGUGAAGAAGGCCUUCGGGUUGUAAAACUCUUUCAUCAAUGAUGAUAAUGACAUUAGUUGAAGAAGAAGCUCCGGCUAACUUCGUGCCAGCAGCCGCGGUAAUACGAAGGGGGCUAGCGUUGUUCGGAAUCACUGGGCGUAAAGCGUAUGUAGGCGGAUCAGAAAGUUAGAUGUGAAAUCCCUGGGCUCAACCCAGGAACUGCAUUUAAAACUAAUGAUCUAGAAUUUGGUAGGGGUUAGUAGAAUUUCCAGUGUAGAGGUGAAAUUCGUAGAUAUUGGAAAGAAUACCAGUGGCGAAGGCGACUGACUAGGCCAUUUUUGACGCUGAGAUACGAAAGCGUGGGUAGCAAACAGGAUUAGAUACCCUGGUAGUCCACGCAGUAAACGAUGACAACUAGCUGUUGGAAGACAACGUCUUUCAGUGGCGCAGCUAACGUUUUAAGUUGUCCGCCUGGGGAGUACGGCCGCAAGGCUAAAACUCAAAUGAAUUGACGGGGACCCGCACAAGCGGUGGAGCAUGUGGUUUAAUUCGAUGCAACGCGAAAAACCUUACCAACUCUUGACAUACUUGGAAACUCUUGUAAUGAGAGUGUGCCUUAUGGAACCAAGAUACAGGUGCUGCAUGGCUGUCGUCAGCUCGUGUCGUGAGAUGUUCCGUUAAGUCGGAUAACGAGCGCAACCCUUACCCUUAUUUGCCAGCGAUUCGGUCGGGAACUAUAAGGGGACUGCCGGUGAUAAACCGGAGGAAGGUGAGGACGACGUCAAGUCAUCAUGGCCCUUACGAGUAGGGCUACACACGUGCUACAAUGGGGAAUACAGACGGACGCUAAGCCGCGAGGUGGUGCUAAUCCUAGAAAGUUUCUCGUAGUCCGGAUUGGAGUCUGCAACUCGACUCCAUGAAGUCGGAAUCGCUAGUAAUCGCGAAUCAGCAUGUCGCGGUGAAUACGUUCUCGGGUCUUGUACACACCGCCCGUCACACCAUGGAAGUGGAUUGCACCAGAAGUAGAUAGUCUAACCUUCGGGAGGGCGUUUGCCACGGUGUGCUUCAUGACUGGGGUGAAGUCGUAACAAGGUAACC